GUAGUCCUCGGGUGGCGCCCUCCCAGUCCGCCGACCGCCCGGGCCACUUCUCCUGCCCUCGCUGCUGGAGACGGCCGGGCCCGAGGCCUCGGUCCCCGGGAGGCGCCGCGCUCCAGGAUUAUCAGGGAGUGGGGCGGCCCGAGGAGGAGCUGGAACUACAACUCCCAGAGGGCCUUGCGAGGGGCACGGAGGGGCGGGGCCUGCAGCCGCGGCGUCUGCGCAUCAGCGGCGUCACAGACGCGUGGGGCUCGCGGGGAGCCGGGCUGGGGCCGUCCGUGUCCCGCGGGGCUCUGGGCGGCCGCUCGACCGAGGACCCACGACUCCGCCCCGACCCCGCCGUGUUCGCGAGACCCGGAGACCCCUUCGCGCCUUCCAGGACCGCCCCUUUCGCGACGCUGCGUGCUGUGCUUGGUCCUGGCGGCCAAGAGCGGCGGUGGCAAGGGGACCGCCCUGGCCCGAGACGCGGCCUGGCCUCGCAGCGUCGCUUGGGCACAGCCUCUCUAGGCCCCUUCGUCCUCGGUCGCGGAGGGACGCCAUUAAACGGCCACGCCGGGCUCAACUGGGACGCGGCCCACGGCGCCCAACCAGGGCCUGGGGGAGGGAAGCCGGGGCGACUCCUGGGUCCUUCCAGGACCCUUGCGCAGGCCUCAUUCUCUCCCCGGAGGUCCCCUUCCCGCUGCCCUGAGGCCACUCUCCUGCCAGCAGCUGCUGGGCCGGCUCUCGGGAGAAUGCCUUGGCGUCAAGCUUAUCAGGCUGCAGGGCGGGACGCGAGUGCUGAGGGCAGCCAGACUCCCGCUCUUAGGUGCACUUGAGGAGCCUGAGAAGGCAGUGGCUCUGCGGGAGAGGGAGACACAGGAGCAGGGCUGGUCCGCCGAGAUUCCGGAGAGACGGUUGUGGGCCGAUUCUGUGGCGAGAUUUACAAGUGGGAGGUUGGGUGACGAUUGCUCCUGGGCCAGAAAAUCUAAGCCAGUCUCAGCAAGACCUACAAGGCAGGGCAGCUGGAUGUGCCGUUUGUUCCCAGACUAUAUCCAUGCCAAAGCAUCCCAAGGGCAGGAAAUGUGUCCCCGGGGGCCAGUGGGGGUCUGGGGGCACAGAGGGCUGCAGAGUGAGAGCUGGCUCUCCUCUCUGCAACUUGGACAAGGCUCUGGGACCCUGUCCUCCCCAGCUUCCUCACCUGCAUGGCAGGAUACUGGCCAAGUGUGGCUUUCGAACCACAGGAGAGGGUGCAGUCAAGGCCUCACUCAGGGACCGCAGGUUCUCUUCCCUUCCCAGUCCUUCCCUGGCACUGCCUAGGUGGCUCCCUGGCCAGGGGCCAGUGGUCUAGCCAGCAGGCCUUAUAACCUCCCCACCAGAGAGGCAGCUGCAGUUGAACCUGUUGAUCUGAUGCUGAGGGCCCUGCCAGCUCACUGCAGAGUGGCCAGUUCUGGCCAGUUUUGCUAGGCCAGGCCCAUUUGGGGUGAGGAGAGGGUGGGAGCACCCCAGCUCUCCCCAGUAGCCUGUCAUGGUGAAGGAGGAAGCCCAUUCACCCAGAAGAGGGCCUCAGGAGGCGUCUUCAAGGUGACUGAGGUUUCCCCGCACAAGGAGAGUGCUGGAGGGAAUGGGUGCGAUGAGAGAAAUGAGUCACUCGUGCCUCCGUGAGGCCAGCCUGUGAUUGUCUUGAAGAUUCUGAGUCACAAGACAUCAGGCACACAGGCGUGAAUUGUAAAUGACUGCACAGCAGAAGACAGACCUGAGCAGCUAACGCAAGUGCGCAGAAGCUCGCCAAGUGCCCAGAAGAGCCAAGAGGCGAGCCAUGAAUCCCCCCUGGAGGAGAAGAGGAUGGGGAGGGCCAAACAGAAAGAACUGAAACUGGAGGCAUCUGUUCAGGCACCCAGAGAAAGCCUCACGCGCACAAAGCAGCAAACAGAACAAACCCCAGUGCCAUCAUGGAGCCCAGACUUGAGCACACAGGGACCCUGGCGUGGAGCACGAGGGUGCCAAGGCCCGCAGGUGGCUGACUUGUGUGCUCUGGUGCCAUGCUCAGAUUUGAUGGGAUGACCCUGCAAUUGCCUGCUUUGUGAGCCACACAGGCCUGGGUCAAAAAGACGACGGACCACCAGCCUGGGCAACACACAAAGCGAAACCUGUCUCCACUUAAAAGAUAAUUAGGGUGUGGUGGUGUGUGCUUGUGGUCCCUGCUACUUGGGAGGCAGAGGCAGGAGCAUCACUUGAGCCCGGGAGGUUGAGGCUGCAGUGAGCUGGGAUGGCACAUGGCGCUCCAGCCUGGGUGACUGAGUCCGUCUCAAAAAAAGAAUGGGCGGCCGGACAGGUGAAAAUAACAAUGGACGGGGCCCUGGGAGAAGUUCCCGCCUUUCUCUGGGCCACCACCUCCAGGUUACUGGACUGCCAGCAGAGGCAGGAUGGGGCGGUCCUCAUGUGAGGGGCUCUGCACCCACGUCCGGGGCUCUUGUUCCAGGGCAGGGGCAGAGCCGCUCCUCUCUAUCCUGCCGGGCAAGACUCCUUGGUGCUCUUCCAUCGGGCAGAACUGACCAAGACUCAGAACAUUCAAUGUCAGGAGCCAGCUGGGGACAGGAUCUGCCUUGGGAGACUUGGCAGGCCCAGUGACCAUCCCACUGCACAGCUGGGGGUGGGGGCGACACUCCAGAGGGACACGUUCGGGCCUCCUGGGGGGUGCAGGCUUCUGGGCACGUCCACCAGGCAUGCACACCGGCCACCCCACCCUGCUCUCGCUCACCCACAAGGUCUCUGGCAGCCCUUCCGGGAAUGUUUCCAUUUCAUCCUGUGUCCUCCUGUCUCAAACUCCUUUGGGCUGGAGACCCCAGUGGGUCAUCGAGGUGGGGCCAGCUGGACUGUGGACAGCCCCAUGUUUAAAAUCUAGCGUGGAAACUGAGGUGCUCCUAGACCACAGUGGGGUAUCAGGAGGAGGAAGCUGCUCCCCUUCCCCUCCCUGGCUCUGGCCUGGCAGCGUGGAGUGAGUUCCCCUCCCCACCUCCAGCUUCUCCCUCUAGGCAGAGAUGGGUCUUACUGGCACCACACAGACCCCUGGGUAGGUGGGAGAGCAGGUCUUUUUCCUGGGAGGAGGAACUUGGCCUUGGACACACCCACACCGCCCAUGUCACUCCUCAGUUCUUUUUUUUUUUGAGACGGAGUCUCGCUCUGUUGCCCAGGCUGGAGUGCGGUGGCGUGAUCGCUGCUCACUGCAAGCUCCACCUCCCAGGUUCACGCCAUUCUCAUGCCUCAGCCUCCCAAGUAGCUGGGACUACAGGUGCCGGCCACCACGCCCGGCUAAUUUUUUUGUAUUUUUAGUAGAGACGUGGUUUCACCAUGUUAGCCAGGAUGGUCUCGAUUUCCUGACCUUGUGAUCCGCCUGCCUGGGCCUCCCAAAGUGCUGGGAUUACAGGCGUGAGCCACCGCGCCCGGCCUGUCACUCCUCAGUUCUAACUCAUGAAGCAAUCAGGGUUCUUGGGCCCUGUGACCUGGAACCAUUCUGCUGCACCUGCACUGAGGGUUCAAGGACUCCUCACUGUAGGCCACGCCUGGUCCUCUUCUGGUCACCAGCCCGCAAGCAGCAGCUGGGCUGAGGGGACUGGCAGACCUGGGUCCUCAGCUUCCCUGGGCCUUGGUUUCUCCAUCUCCAUCUGCAUCUGAGAGUGACAGGCAGGCGGGCAUCUCGCGCGGGGGGCGGGAGAGCGAGAGCCGCAGAUGCACAGUCCGCUUCCUGGAUGCUGGACCAGGUGGUCCAGUUUUCAAGGCUUGUGUUUUUGGGGGACUCUUGAUCAGAUGGGACCACUCCCCGCAGGCCAUUCUUUGUGGCUGCAGUGGCACUGAGCUCUCUCAGACUCCCUGGCUGCCCAUGACCUCGGGAGCCCACUUCCGUCGGGACCUGCCUCCUCACCUUCCCGUGCCUGUGGUGCUGGUACUGUGUCUGCCCCCUCUUCUGGGGGAUGUCCUCCCACCACCCUGCACAUCACUGCCCUUUUAAAUUCUUUCUGAAAUGGGGUCUCGCUGUCGCCCAGGCUGGAGUGCAGCGGUGUGAUCACAGCUCACUGUAACCUCCGUCUCCUGGACUCAAGCAAUUCUCCCACCUCAGCCUCCCAAGGAACUGGGACUAUAGGUGCGCACCACAAUGCCUGGUUAAUUUUUUAUUUUUUAGAGAUGGGGCCUUGCUAUGUUGCCCAGGCUGGUCUUGAACUCCCGGGUUCAAGCGAUCCUCCUGCCUUGGCCUCCC
rnacentral:lncRNA from 1 species